AUGAAUCCUGGACCCACCUAACUUCUGAGACUUGAAAGCCACAAGGUCACCCUGGAGUUCAUCCUUAGAACUGGAAUAACAGUUUCUAUUUCAUCUUGAAAACGUGGCAAUCUUGGCAUGAAAACUUCAGUGCAGUGCACCCUUGUCUUUGUUUUAUACCUGAGGAGACCGAGACUCAGCAAGAGGCAGUUUGUCAGGUCACACUACCCGGUCAGUGAUGGAACCCAGCCCUCAGGUAGGACUGCAUGACGCCGGCCUGGUCUGUGCUGCCUCUGUGACUACUGCGGGGAGACAAAGGAAACAAGAAGCCGGGAAGCAGACAAUUCCAAAGAAGCUCGGAACUGGAGAAAUCUGGGCUUCAGCACUAUUCCCAGCCCCACCUUCCGACUAACGUGUCAGUAGUUCAUCAAUAUGCGGGAAGACGAU